AAUAAAGCUGACUCAGUUUUCCAUCACGCUUGGAGUCCCGUCUCUUUGUUUUGCCUCCUAGUCUUUGGUCAAGAACCCUUUCUCGGACUUCGCUGCUGGUCAGCGGAGCUGUAACACCUGGUGCCCAAUGUGGGGCCGAGGAACAGGUCAGAUAGGUGUCGCGAGCCUUUCCUGAUUUCGGCCAGAGAUCCCCCUGAGACACUGCUAACGCUGGAACCUAGGACACGGAGAUGAAGUGCCUCCAGUAUGGGUCCCCCAGAGGGCUACUAGAUUGUAUAUCCCAGCUACACAAGAUGCAUCUGGACCUGAAACCACCAAACAGACGCCCGUCCCGUAAGAAGCGACGACCCCGUAAGCGAAAAACCGGUUUACAACAGGGGUUCCUGCGUGUUCCUGAUGACCAUGCCGACUUUAGGGCCUCCAACCCAAGGAAAA